rnacentral:snoRNA from 1 species
ACCUCCCACAAAGGCGUGUCUGUGGCUUCCCAUCUAUAGAUACGUAAGAACUGGAGGCAAAGAAAUGAGGGCUAGGAAAAGUUCAGGGCUAGCAUACCCUACCUUA